rnacentral:rRNA from 1 species
AGAGUUUGAUCCUGGCUCAGGAUGAACGCUAGCGACAGGCCUAACACAUGCAAGUCGAGGGGCAGCACAGUUGAAGCUUGCUUCAAUGGGUGGCGACCGGCGCACGGGUGAGUAACGCGUAUGGAACCAACCCGCAACAGGGGGAUAACCCGGAGAAAUCCGGACUAAUACCGCAUAGUACAGGGAAUACACAAGUAUUUUUUGUUAAAGAGCAAUCGGUUGCGGACGGUCAUGCGUUCCAUUAGCUAGUUGGGGGGGUAACGGCCCACCAAGGCGACGAUGGAUAGGGGUUCUGAGAGGAAGGUCCCCCACACUGGUACUGAGACACGGACCAGACUCCUACGGGAGGCAGCAGUGAGGAAUAUUGGUCAAUGGGCGAGAGCCUGAACCAGCCAAGUCGCGUGAGGGAAGACGGCCCUAAGGGUUGUAAACCUCUUUUAGAUGAGAGUAAAGGUACCUACGCGUAGGUAUUUGCAAGUAUCAUCAGAAUAAGCAUCGGCUAAUUCCGUGCCAGCAGCCGCGGUAAUACGGAAGAUGCGAGCGUUAUCCGGAUUUAUUGGGUUUAAAGGGUGCGUAGGCGGGUUGUUAAGUCAGCGGUGAAAUGCACCAGCUUAACUGGUGAAUUGCCAUUGAAACUGGCGAUCUUGAGUGUAGCGGAAGUAUGCGGAAUGUGUGGUGUAGCGGUGAAAUGCAUAGAUAUCACGCAGAACUCCGAUUGCGAAGGCAGCAUACCAUACUACAACUGACGCUGAAGCACGAAAGCGUGGGUAUCGAACAGGAUUAGAUACCCUGGUAGUCCACGCAGUAAACGAUGAAUACUAACUGUUUGCGAUAGAAUGUAAGCGGUAAAGCGAAAGCGUUAAGUAUUCCACCUGGGGAGUACGCCGGCAACGGUGAAACU